rnacentral:rRNA from 1 species
UUGGAGGGCAAGUCUGGUGCCAGCAGCCGCGGUAAUUCCAGCUCCAAUAGCGUGUAUUAAAGUUGUUGCAGUUAAAAAGCUCGUAGUUGAAUUUCGGGAUCGACGGGUCGGUCGCGCCUCUGGUGUGUACUGGCCCUGUCGGUUUCUCCCUUCUGACGAACUACGAUGUCAUUAAUUUGGUGUCGUGGGGAAUCAGGACUGUUACUUUGAAAAAAUUAGAGUGUUUAAAGCAAGCAUUCGCUUGAAUGCAUUAGCAUGGAAUAAUGAAAUAGGACGUUUGAUCUUAUUUUGUUGGUUUCUAAGAUCGACGUAAUGAUUAAUAGGGAUAGUUGGGGGCAUUAGUAUUCAAUUGUCAGAGGUGAAAUUCUUGGAUUUAUUGAAGACUAACUACUGCGAAAGCAUUUGCCAAGGAUGUUUUCAUUAAUCAAGAACGAAAGUUAGGGGAUCGAAGACGAUCAGAUACCGUCGUAGUCUUAACCAUAAACUAUGCCGACUAGGGAUCGGAUGAUGUUAAUUUUUUAAUGACUCAUUCGGCGCCUUACGGGAAAC